CCGAAUUUAGCUCAGUAGGUAGAGCUGAGAACUGUAGUUGGAGUAAUAAUCUGAGUUGAAAUCCUUAGGUCGCUGGUUCAAAUUCGGCAGGUCGGA
rnacentral:tRNA from 1 species